rnacentral:tRNA from 1 species
CCCUGGGUGGCUCAUUGGUAAAGGAUCUGCCUGCCAAUGCAGAAGACACGGGUUCAAUCCCUGGUCCAGGAA